rnacentral:rRNA from 1 species
GAUGAACGCUGACAGAAUGCUUAACACAUGCAAGUCAACUGUGGCGGACGGGUGAGUAACGCGUAAAGAACUUGCCUCACCGGUAGGGACAACAUUUGGAAACGAAUGCUAAUACAUAAUAUUGUGAGAGAGCUUUGCGUACCAUUAGCUCGUUGGAGAGGUAACGGCUCUCGAAGGCGAUGAUGGGUAGCCGGCCUGAGAGGGGGAUCGGCCACAAGAGGACUGGGACACGGCCCUUGGUCAUACGGGAUGAAGCAGAGUGGGAUAUUGGACAAUGGACCAAAGUCUGAGCCAGCAAUUCUGUGUGCACGAUGAAGUUUUCGGAAGGUAAAGUGCUUUCAGUUGGGAAGCGGUACCAACAGAAGAAGUGACGGCUAAAUACGUGCCAGCAGCCGCGGUAAUUC